rnacentral:rRNA from 1 species
AAAGCUCUCCAAACUUCGGUCAUUUAGAGGAAGUAAAAGUCGUAACAAGGUCUCCGUUGGUGAACCAGCGGAGGGAUCAUUACCGAGUUUACAACUCCCAAACCCCUGUGAACAUACCAAUUGUUGCCUCGGCGGAUCAGCCCGCUCCCGGUAAAACGGGACGGCCCGCCAGAGGACCCCUAAACUCUGUUUCUAUAUGUAACUUCUGAGUAAAACCAUAAAUAAAUCAAAACUUUCAACAACGGAUCUCUUGGUUCUGGCAUCGAUGAAGAACGCAGCAAAAUGCGAUAAGUAAUGUGAAUUGCAGAAUUCAGUGAAUCAUCGAAUCUUUGAACGCACAUUGCGCCCGCCAGUAUUCUGGCGGGCAUGCCUGUUCGAGCGUCAUUUCAACCCUCAAGCCCAGCUUGGUGUUGGGACUCGCGAGUUAAAUCGCGUUCCCCAAAUUGAUUGGCGGUCACGUCGAGCUUCCAUAGCGUAGUAGUAAAACCCUCGCUACUGGUAAUCGUCGCGGCCACGCCGUUAAACCCCAACUUCUGAAUGUUGACCUCGGAUCAGGUAGGAAUACCCGCUGAACUUAAGCAUAUCAAUAAGCGGAGGAAAAGAAACCAACAGGGAUUGCCCUAGUAACGGCGAGUGAAGCGGCAACAGCUCAAAUUUGAAAUCUGGCUCUCGGGCCCGAGUUGUAAUUUGUAGAGGAUACUUUUGAUGCGGUG